AUGUCGUGAUGAAAACAACUUCUAAACAAUUCCUUGAACCUCUCCCAAGAGUCAUAUAUAGAUUCCCCUUCAAUCAGGUAAAAACUAUUGAUCUCUCCCCUUAAUUU